rnacentral:lncRNA from 1 species
CUCCGUCUCAGGGGGGAAAAAAACCCAAAAAAACUCCUAAAUGCCAAAAGCAUCAGGACACAAUUCUACCUCUCUUUCAGCUUUCUUUACUUUCCCUUUUCCUUGUACCAGUGAGUUGGAUGAUCAGUCAGGUACCUAAACAUGGGGAUAGAAAGGGAAUGGGAAACCCAUCCCCCAUUCGGUUAAGACCUCUGCCCAGCACAUGGGCUGUAGAUCCUCUUCUCCUCAUGUGAGUUUCACCUUAGGACUCAAGUCAGCCAACCUGGCAGAGAUCUUGUGAACAGGAGUCAUCUUAGGUGACAGUGUAACCGCCCAAGGGGUUCGCCUUGUCUGCUGCCUAGGAUAGCCGAUUUAUCAAGACAGGGUAAUUGUAAUAGAGAAAGAAUAAUUCAUGCAGAGCCAGCUGUGCUGGAGACUGGAGUUUUAUUAUUACUCAAAUCAGUCUCCCUCAAAACUCUUUUAUUAUUACUCAAAUCUGUCUCCCCAAAAACUCGGGGAUCCGAGUUUUUAAGGAUAAUUUGGUGGGUAGUGGCCAGUGAAUCGGGAGUGCUGAUUGGUUGGCUCAGGGAUGAAAUCAUAGGGAGUGGAAGCUGUUCUCUUCUGCUGAGUCAGUUCCUGGGUGGGGGGCCACAGAACUGGUUGGCAGGUCCAGGUGGGGCCCUCUGGUUGUUAGAAAUGGAAAAACCUGAAAAGACAUCUCGAAAGGCCGAUCUUAGGUUCACAAUAGUGAUGUUACCUUCAAGAGUAAUUUAGGGAAGUUGCAAAUCUUAUAACCUCCGGAAUAAUGGCUGGUAAUAUUUAGAAUUCCAGCCCCUUUCAUCUUGACUUGGUGGCUGGUGGCCUUUCAUUAGUUUUACCAGAACAGUUUAGCCAUUUGGGAAGGGCUAUUAUAUAAACUAUACACUAAAUUUCUUUCCAAAGCUAGUUCGGCCUACGCUUAGGAAUGAACAAGGACAGUUGAGAAGUUAGAAACAAGAUGGGGUCAGUUAGGUCUGAUAUCUUUUACUAUCAUAAUUUUCUCAGUUAUGAUUUUUGCAAAGGUGGUUUCAAUAGGGCUCACUUGAGUUCCUGGUGAACCCUGACUCAGGCUGCCAGGGACAGCUCAAUCCACCUGGUCUUCAAAAGAGGGUGUGUCACUUGCCCAAGGUUUCAGUGUUAGAGCCAAAGAGGCCAAGAGUCCAAGAAUGUGGCCUCGUGCUCUCCAGCUGGCCUCCUUCCUGGUGGUGGGAGAUGCAAAGGUGGGAGGGAGGGGCAGAUGGGCAUGAGUUCAACCCGCACACUCCACCUGGGAAGGAUGAACGAGUUUUGGGAAUCAACUAGGUACCAGGCACAUGAUCCCCCCACCACCCUGGAAAUAGGGUUUAAGCGCAGCAUUCCCAUUUUCUUUUUUCUUUUUUUUGAGACGGAGUCUCUUUCUGUCGCCCAGGCUGGAGUGCAGUGGCACGAUCUCCGCUCACUGCAAGCUCCGCCUCCCGGGUUCACGCCAUUCUCCUGCCUCAGCCUCCCAAGUAGCUGGGACUACAGGCGGCCGCCACCACGCCCGGCUAAUUUUUUGUAUUUUUUAGUAGAGACGGGGUUUCACCGUGUUAGCCAGGAUGGUCUCGGUCUCCUGACCUCGUGAUUCGCCCGCCUCGGCCUCCCAAAGUGCUGAGAUUACAGGCGUGAGCCACCGCGCCCGGCCAGCAUUCCCAUUUUCACACAUGAAAAAAGCAGAAGCUCUGGGACAUUAAGAAAGCGCCUUGCGGGGAGCAGGGAGGAGGGGCCAAGGUUGAAAACCCAUGUAUUGGGUACUGUGUGCUCACUUCCUGAGUGACAGGUUUAGUCAUACUCCAGACCUCAGCAUAACACAAUAUAGCUAUGUGUUGUUGUUGUUUGUUGUUGUUGUUGCUGUUUUUGAGACAGAGUCUCGCUCAGUUCCCAGGCUGGAGUGCAGUGGGGUGAUCUCAGCUCCCUAUAUACCUUUAUAAUCUGCAUGUGUAUCCCUGGAAUCUAAAAUAAAAGCUGAAAGACAAAAACAAACAAACAAAAAACAAAGAAAGCGUCUUGCCCAAGGGCUCCGUGUGGCAAGUGGUGGUCAGGCUGGAUGGUGGGUGCAGGUCUGCACUGCUCUAUCUGCCCCCCAAAAGCAGAAGGACAGGGCCCUCAGUGAUCUGAGGACUGAUGAGGGUGGGCUCAGGAGGAAGAGGCCACCGAGGGUGUCCUCGUGCUGGCAAUUCUGCAAGAUGUGUUGCAGGGCAUUCUGCGACUAAAACCUUGUGCUGGGGGUUAGUGACCAGGGCUGACUAGACCCCUUUCUUGGCUUCACAGUUCCCUUCCAAGACAACGAAAAGCACAUACUGCAUGCUCAGCACUAAGAGGCUCCACUUACUUCAUUCUCACAUCAGCCCUGUAAUCUACUCAUUCUCCCAUUUUACAGAUGAGAAACAGGAGGAACAGGAUGUAUGUAACUUGCCCAAGGUCACAGAGCCAAGAGGUGGCUGAAGCCAGACUUGAACCCAGGCAUUCAGCUAAGAAACUGCAUUCUUAAGCAAAACAUCACAAGACCUGCUCUAGAGAAAGUGUUCCUGCCUCCUGCUAGGCAAGGUGAUGCCCUAGGGGAAAGGAAGGAGGAGAAAGAUGGGGUUUCGCCAUGUUGCCCAGGAUGAUCUUGAACUCCCAGGCUCCUCCUACCUUGGCCUCCCAAAGUGCUGAGAUUACAGAUACCCACAACAGGUGAAGGAGAGAAAGCAGUCCCACAGACACCCUUCUCUGCUGGAAAGUCCUUCCUAUCUGACUCCAGUCCCACUUGCUGGAGGAGUUCCCCU